rnacentral:rRNA from 1 species
UCAGAGAAGAAGACAUGACUGUAUCUGAGGAAUAAGCAUCGGCUAACUCUGUGCCAGCAGCCGCGGUAAGACAGAGGAUGCAAGCGUUAUCCGGAAUGAUUGGGCGUAAAGAGUAUGUAGGUUGCUUAACAAGUCUACUGUUAAAUCCCAGAGCUUAACUCUGGUCAAGCCGUAGAAACUGAUAAGCUAGAGUACGGUAGAAGCAAAGGGAAUUUCCGGUGGAGCGGUGAAAUGCGUUGAUAUCGG